CUGUGCUGUACAGUAAGCCCUCAUUGCUUAUCUGUUCUAAAUGUAAUAGUUUGCACCUACCAACCGCAAACUCCCCAUCCAUCUCACUCCUUCUCCCCUUCCCCUUGGCAACCACAAGUCUGUUUUCUAUGAACAUCAAUUCCUUCGUUUGUGAAAGAGGGUAGAAAACCACCAACAGUGCUGCGUGUUUGAGGACAGAAAGCAAUCACAGCUGGAGAAGCACCUAACACAUGGUUAGCUCUCAAACCAUGAUGGUUUUGCCUUCUGAGUACCCUCCUGCCUUCUUCAGAAGUACAGACAUCUCCAUUUUUCCCCUUAUGCUUCCCUAAAUAAAUGAUUUUCUCCUUAAGUACUGCCUUCUAGAUAAAUAAAACUCUCGUAUUUAAUUUGAUUGUUUUCCUGUUUGUUUAAUUACUACCAUUAAGAUGUUAGUGCUUUCUUGUAUUUUCGUCAUGGCAAAUGUGAUAUUUUAGCUCCACUUUGGGUUACUGGAUUUGUCAAGUUUCUGCUGUUGCUAGUAUCUGAAAUUUGAGUCAAUGUGGCUUAAGGAAAAGGGGAGAUUAAUUUGGUGUCUGUAAUGAAAUAUUUUAGAGGAUUGUUUUAGCUGAAGACAAGGCUGCACCCAAUCAGACAAUGGCCCAGGAUGCAGGGUCUGUUUCUUGGCUCCGUUCCCCUGUGUUGCCCUCAUUCUUGGGGAGACCAGCAUUUUGUUUCCAUCCUCUUCUCACAAUAGAACCACUGGAAAGAGUUUUCCUUUCCCAUGAAGAGUCACCAAGAAUCUUGGGUCUUGGAUCCAAAGCUGGCAGCUGGAGAACUGUGACAUGCUGGCCAACCCUGCUAGGUCCUGUGCCUGCAGCUGGGGAUGGGGACAUGCAAGUCUCAUGGGCCACGAGAGGCGUGAGAUGGGUCCCAGAGGGAAAUCAGGUCAGGGCUCUGCUAGUCAAGGCAGCAGGGAGCAGCAGUAAGGAUUAUUUUCACUACUAUUUUACAAAUGAAGAAAUAAUCUGUGCCUUUUAGCAGCUAAUUCAACCAUCCCUGGUAAGCUUAUUUCCUCCAAAAGGUGGAACCUCGGUAACAACUAGUCAACUUAUAAAGCCCCCUUUUGGGGGACCAGCUUGCCUGUGUUGACCUCGGGGUCUGUCCAGGGCUCUCUGUGGGGCUAGGUGGCAGAGGUGCUCUGAUGGGGAUGGGCACGGGGUUCUUAGCCUUGUCAAGGGGGCGGGGUCCUUGACAAUCUCAUGCAAAACCUCCGUUCUGCAUCUUCAUUUCCUUAUCUGUGAAAUGAAAGCCAAUCCCUUCAUCCUCCCAGAGGUGUUUGAAGGAUUCGUUGAAGUGAGGAGCUCUUCACAAGCGUUCUGUGGUGCUUGAACGCAGGGUGGACUCUGAACUGAUGUGACCUUAGGCGAGUCGCAGAAGCUCCUUGAACUCUGCCCGUAGCAGGAAAAAAUGAUGAUCCUGCGUCCAGGCUCAGGAAGGCAUGAGCCGCUCAGUAAGCAUUUGGAGACGGAGAGGAGAAAGAACUUUGUAAGCCGUAAAUAUCUACUGGGCAUCAGGUGUUUUCAGUGACACGCUCUCACAGUCACUAAGCUACAUAGAUGAGGAAAUUGAGGCUCAGAGAGGCAAACUCACUCCUCUGAGAUCACAGAGCUGAGGGGCAGAGCUAGGCUGCGAGCCUAUGUCUUUACCACUGUGGCAGUCGCUUCCCAUGUACAGCCCUCACCUGUCGGACCUGGCGGAGAGCUCACCUCUCAUGCAAUACCUCGGUGACUCCCCAGCUGGGUAGGGCCUCUUCUCUGUCCCCCCACCUCCCAUCUAGGCCUGCCUUCACAGCUCUUACUCCCUGGAGUUGUAACUGUCUAUUUAUGUGUCUGUCUUCUCCCACUGGCCUGGGGGAUCAGGCCUGAUGCUCCUGAGAGCCCCUGGUCCCCCAUGUACCACUAGGAGUGGAGAUGAAGUGGUAAAAAGGGAGCUUCCGGUAUCAUGCCCAGAUCUCCCUAUUGGACCUUGAGCAGAGGUCCUGAACCUUGCCGAGCCUCAGCUUUUUCUUCUGUGAAAUGGGAAUAACAGGACCUUCUCAGCCACAUUGUCAUCAGGAUAGAAGGAGUAUAACAGUAGUAACUCACAUCAUUUGAGGGCUUACUCAUUCUAUUUAUUUCUUCCAACAAUCUUUGAAGGCAGGCACUAGAAUCAUGCAUAUUUUAUAGAUGAGAAACAGAUUGAGAGAGAAGAACUGAUUUGCCCAGAGUUGCACAGCUGGACCCUACAGCAUCCAAUGGUGGGAAUUCGAUAAGGGGAUCUAUAAUAAUGACAAACAUUCACAGAAUAACUGAAACCACAGGCCCCUUGGUCCUUGCUAAAUACCAAGCUCACCCAGGGACAGUUACUGGGGCUAUGACUGGCUUGGGAGGAGAGUGUGGCUCCAUCCACCAGAGUUGGGGUGGCUUCUGGAAGUAGGCUGGUUUGGGGCAGAAUAGCUUCCUCCCGAGAAGCCGCUGAGCUCACGAAAUCUGAUGUUCUGAUCUGGAGAAAUUGCUGUACCCCCCACCUCCAUCCCAAAUUUUCAUUGCAUCUUCCUCUUAGCUACAUCCUCUUCCUUCCGUGGGAAGAGCUGCAGCAGCCAUGCACGUUCUUUCAGCAGCAGCCUCUGACAUUGCUGGAGCAUCUGUAGCCUAUGCUCCCGCCAAGGAAGGAAGGGUGGAGAGAGGCGUAGCAUGGGGUGGCUCAGCAUUGAACAGGCUGCAUUUAAACUCUGGCUCUGACAUCCACCAACUGGGGUGACCUUGGUCUGGUCACAUUUCCUCUCCGAAGGCAGGAGCAAUCACCACUUUGUUUCAAAUGAAAUAAAGUGUCAGUAAAAGCCCCUAGCACAUAAGUGCUCAGAAAUGCUUUCUCCUUCUUCCUCCCACUCCCCUUUCUUCCUGAGACAUUUACUGAGAGCCUGCCUGGAACCAGAUGUAGCAGAGGGAGGAUAGGUUCUUUGGAAUCCCCAAAGAGCUAUAGCGUUUGGAGUUGGAUACAAGGAUCAGGGCUAAUUCCAAUAUGAGGUCCCCUCUCCCAUGCUCAGUUUCCUGAUCUGGACAUAAUCAUAGAUCUCUUGCCAGGAAAUGCACUGUCCUGGACUCCCUCAGCAUGGAGCCCCCAGGUGAGUGACUAUUUGACUCCUGGAUGAGGAUCUCUUAAGAUUCAAGGAGGAGUUCCCAUCGUGGCUCAGUGGUAACGAAUCUGACUAGUAGCCAUGAGAAUGCUGGCUUGAUCCCUGGCCUUACUCAGUGGGUUAAGGAUCUGGCAUUGCUGUGAGCUGAGGUGUAGGUCACAGAUGUGGCUCGGAUCCCAUGUCACUAUGGCUGUGGUGUAGGCUGGCAGCUGUAGCUCUGAUUCGACCCCUAGCCUGGGAACCUCCAUAUGCCUUGGGUGUGGCCCUA
rnacentral:lncRNA from 1 species